ncrna:unclassified sequences GA-cis RNA
AUGGGGAGAAAACAAAAAGGACGGAGUUUAUUUUUUUGAAUAUUUCUGAUAAAUUGCCGCUGACCGAUGGGAGGAGGCACUAUAUAUU